CUUCAACGAGCCGAGCCACAGUGGACGGUCCGCCGGCCGGUCCUUGCCGUAGGUGGCGAGCAGGGCCUGGGCCUC
rnacentral:antisense_RNA from 1 species